GAUGAACGCUAGCGACAGGCUUAACACAUGCAAGUCGAGGGGCAGCACGGUGUAGCAAUACACUGGUGGCGACCGGCGCACGGGUGAGCAAACACGUGUGCAACCAACCCCGUACCGGGAGAUAACCCGCGGAAACGUGGACUAACAUCCCAUGAUACUCGAGAGCCGCAUGGCUCUAGAUUUAAAAUUCCGGUGGUACGGGACGGGCACGCGCGACAUUAGGUAGUGGCGGGUAAGGCCCACCAAGCCGACGAUGUCUAGGGGUUCUGAGAGGAAGGUCCCCCACACUGGAACUGAGACACGGUCCAGACUCCUACGGGAGGCAGCAGUGAGGAAUAUUGGUCAAUGGGCGAGAGCCUGAACCAGCCAAAGUCGCGUGAGGGAAGAAUGGUCUAAU
rnacentral:rRNA from 1 species